UGGGGGGUUAGGUCGGCAACGCGCAUGUAACACCUCUGGAGUUGCAGGCGUCCAUAGGCUACGGUGACUGCUUACCAUCAGGCGGGCCGUAUGCUUGUUUGCCACCGAUGUGGUAUAUAAAAAAAACAAUUUCAAGGACAUUGGGUG